AUUGAACGCUGGCGGCAGGCUUAACACAUGCAAGUCGAGCGGGGGAAGGUAGCUUGCUACCGGACCUAGCGGCGGACGGGUGAGUAAUGCUUAGGCAUCUGCCUAUUAGUAGGGGACAACAUCCCGAAAGGGAUGCUAAUACCGCAUACGUCCUACGGGAGAAAGCAGGGGAUCUUCGGACCUUGCGCUAAUAGAUGAGCCUAAGUCGGCUUAGCUAGUUGGUGGGGUAAAGGCCUACCAAGGCGACGAUCUGUAGCGGGUCUGAGAGGUUGAUCCGCCACACUGGGACUGAGACACGGCCCAGACUCCUACGGGAGGCAGCAGUGGGGAAUAUUGGACAAUGGGGGGAACCCUGAUCCAGCCAUGCCGCGUGUGUGAAGAAGGCCUUAUGGUUGUAAAGCACUUUAAGCGAGGAGGAGGCUACUUUAGUUAAUACCUAGAGAUAGUGGACGUUACUCGCAGAAUAAGCACCGGCUAACUCUGUGCCAGCAGCCGCAGUAA
rnacentral:rRNA from 1 species